GCACACCUGGGGCUCAUCCCCUUUGAUUGGGAGAGGUGGGGAGCUGCCUUUUUAAGCUUGUGUGGUAGACUCAUUUAGGUUUCUUCUGUUGGGUGUGGAGACGUGUCUGGGCUGGCGUGCUGCACGUUUGUUGCUGUUGCCAGAGGUUGUUAGUUUACUGCGGAGUGAGCCGACUCUGUUUUUGCCGUGGCUAUUCCGUGUGGAUAGAUGAAUACCUGGGCUGCUGGCGUUGGGUGCCUCGUUGGGUGCUGUGUGGCUGCGCGGAUUGCUUGCCCCCUGCCGGGGUCUGUGGGUCCCGUGUCCCGUAAAGUGAGGGUAUGUUGGAAGAGGUGAGCUGCAGGGGAUAUCUUAAGAUCCCCACCCUGGAUUGUGCAGCAAUUUUUGCCAAUGUGCGGGAGGGCAGUGAAAUAGAAGAACAAAAUAAUAAACAUGUUAUACUUUCUCCAA